rnacentral:rRNA from 1 species
AUUGAACGCUGGCGGCAGGCCUAACACAUGCAAGUCGAACGAGUGGCGGACGGGUGAGUAAUGUCUGGGAAACGGCCUGAUGGAGGGGGAUAACUACUGGAAACGGUAGCUAAUACCGCAUACCAUCGGAUGUGCCCAGAUGUGAUUAGCUAGUAGGUGGGGUAAAGGUUCACCUAGGCGACGAUCCCUAGCUGGUCUGAGAGGAUGACCAGCCAAACUGGAACUGAUACACGGUCCAGACUCCGACGGUAGGCAGCAGUGGGGAAGAGUGCACAAUGGUGGAAAGCCUGAUGCAGCCAUGGCGCGUGUAUGAAGAAGGCCUUAGGGUUGUAAAGUACUGUCAGCGGGGAGGCGUUACCCGCAGAAGAAGCACCGGCUAACUCCGUGCCAGCAGCCGCGGUAAUUC